UACGGGGGGGGGCAAGCGUUACUCGGAAUUACUGGGCGUAAAGCGUGCGUAGGUGGUGAGUUAAGUCUGUCGUGAAAGCCCCGGGCUCAACCUGGGAAUGGCGAUGGAUACUGGCUCGCUAGAGUGCGGUAGAGGAGAGUGGAAUUCCCGGUGUAGCAGUGAAAUGCGUAGAGAUCGGGAGGAACAUCAGUUGCGAAGGCGGCUCUCUGGACCAGCACUGACACUGAGGCACGAAAAGCGUGGGGAGCAAACAGGG
rnacentral:rRNA from 1 species